rnacentral:misc_RNA from 1 species
AGAGAGAGAGAGAGAAGGUGAGAAGAAGAUAUGAUUUCAGAUAGAAAGAGUAAAAGCUGUGAUAUCUAUCUGUACGAGUAUAUGUGUAUCCGGUUGACUACAAGGGAGAUGCAGAGACAGAUGGAAAGAUUCAGAGAGCGCGAGAAGCUGAAAAAUAGAGAAGAAAAGGGUGUUUCAUGGGAAUCGGUGACCAUGACCAUGGCCAAUGGCUGACCCUUAAAGAGUAAAUUAUAAUUUAACCUUUAACCUUUGUUUGGAUCAAGGGAAUUAAGGAAAUGAGUGAGAAAUUAAUCAAGACAAAUAAGGAAGAAA